rnacentral:misc_RNA from 1 species
GUGAAUUCAAAAGGCCGCGGGUCGCUUUGCAAAAAGGCGCACCCCGGCCGACUUUACUAUUUUCACACACUUGUGCUCUCGUCUUUUUUAACACUGUUGUAUCAUGAAAAAGUUAAGAUAAACCAAGUUGAUAAACAUUGAA